rnacentral:rRNA from 1 species
AGAGUUUGAUCAUGGCUCAGGACGAACGCUGGCGGCGUGCUUAAUACAUGCAAGUCGAGCGAGGUUACUGUUUUGGAUCCCUUCGGGGUGAAGAAGCUCUAACCUAGCGGCGGACGGGUGAGUAACGCGUGGGUAACCUACCCCAAAGUCCGGGAUAACAGCGGGAAACCGCUGCUAAUACCGGAUGCCUUUACCUUGGGGCAUCUUGAGGUAAAGAAAGGUAACGCUUUGGGAUGGGCCCGCGUCCCAUUAGCUAGUUGGUGAGGUAACGGCUCACCAAGGCGACGAUGGGUAGCCGGCCUGAGAGGGUGGACGGCCACACUGGGACUGAGACACGGCCCAGACUCCUACGGGAGGCAGCAGUAGGGAAUAUUGCGCAAUGGACGGAAGUCUGACGCAGCGACGCCGCGUGAGCGAUGAAGGUCUUCGGAUCGUAAAGCUCUGUCCUUGGGGAAGAAGGCGAAAGCUUGACGGUACCUAAUCAGAAAGCCACGGCUAACUACGUGCCAGCAGCCGCGGUAAUACGUAGGUGGCAAGCGUUAUCCGGAAUUAUUGGGCGUAAAGCGCGCGUAGGCGGUUUCUUAAGUCUGAUGUGAAAGCCCACGGCUCAACCGUGGAGGGUCAUUGGAAACUGGGAAACUUGAGUACAGAAGAGGAAAGUGGAAUUCCAUGUGUAGCGGUGAAAUGCGCAGAGAUAUGGAGGAACACCAGUGGCGAAGGCGACUUUCUGGUCUGUAACUGACGCUGAUGUGCGAAAGCGUGGGGAUCAAACAGGAUUAGAUACCCUGGUAGUCCACGCCGUAAACGAUGAGUGCUAAGUGUUAGGGGGUUUCCGCCCCUUAAUGCUGCAGCUAACGCAUUAACACUCCGCCUGGGGAGUACGA